rnacentral:rRNA from 1 species
CCCUUAGAUGUUCUGGGCCGCACGCACGCUACACUGAUGCAUUCAACGAGCCUAUCCUUGACCGACAGGUCCGGGUAAUCUUUGAAUCUGCAUCGUGACGGGGAUAGAUUAUUGCAAUUAUUAAUCUUCAACGAGGAAUGCCUAGUAGGCGCAAGUCAUCAGCUUGCGUCGAUUACGUCCCUGCCCUUUGUACACACCGCCCGUCGCUCCUACCGAUUGGGUGUGCUGGUGAAAUGUUCGGAUCGGCCGUUUGUCGCGGUUUCCGCGGCUCGUGGCUGAGAAGUUCAUUAAACCCUCCCACCUAGAGGAAGGAGAAGUCGUAACA